UACGUAGGGUGCGAGCGUUAAUCGGAAUUACUGGGCGUAAAGCGUGCGCAGGCGGCGGCUCAAGUCAGGUGUGAAAUCCCCCGGGCUUAACCUGGGAAUUGCGCUUGAAACUAGGUUGCUAGAGUGUGGCAGAGGGGGGUGGAAUUCCACGUGUAGCAGUGAAAUGCGUAGAGAUGUGGAGGAACACCGAUGGCGAAGGCAGCCCCCUGGGUCAACACUGACGCUCAUGCACGAAAGCGUGGGGAGCAAACAGG
rnacentral:rRNA from 1 species